rnacentral:rRNA from 1 species
AUUGAACGCUGGCGGCAGGCCUAACACAUGCAAGUCGAGCGGAUGAAGGGAGCUUGCUCCUGGAUUCAGCGGCGGACGGGUGAGUAAUGCCUAGGAAUCUGCCUGGUAGUGGGGGAUAACGUCCGGAAACGGGCGCUAAUACCGCAUACGUCCUGAGGGAGAAGGUGGGGGAUCUUCGGACCUCACGCUAUCAGAUGAGCCUAGGUCGGAUUAGCUAGUUGGUGGGGUAAAGUCCUACCAAGGCGACGAUCCGUAACUGGUCUGAGAGGAUGAUCAGUCACACUGGAACUGAGACACGGUCCAGACUCCUCCGGGAGGCAGCAGUAGGGAAUCUUCCGCAAUGGGCGAAAGCCUGACGGAGCAACGCCGCGUGAGUGAUGAAGGUCUUCGGAUCGUAAAACUCUGUAAUUAGGGAAGAACAAAAGUGUAAGUAACUAUGCACGUCUUGACGGUACCUAAUCAGAAAGCCACGGCUAACUACGUG